GGCGGGGUGGCAGAAUGGUUAUGCAACGGUCUGCAAAGCCGUAUAUGCCGGUUCAAUUCCGACUCCCGCCU
rfam:Asian citrus Psyllid, Diaphorina citri - Florida Strain, whole genome shotgun sequence.